UACCAGCACCCCGAGUGGUCGGGACGAUUAUUGGGCCUAAAGCAUCCGUAGCCGGUACUGCAAGUCUUCCGUUAAAUCCACCUGCUUAACAGUUGGGCUGCGGGGGAUACUACAGCGCUAGGAGGCGGGAGAGGCAAGCGGUACUCAAUGGGUAGGGGUAAAAUCCGCUGAUCCAUUGAAGACCACCAGUGGCGAAGGCGGCUUGCCAGAACGCGCUCGACGGUGAGGGAUGAAAGCUGGGGGAGCAAAC
rnacentral:rRNA from 2 species